CGGGUGAGUAACACGUGAGUAACCUGCCUUACACAAGGGGAUAGCCGUUGGAAACGACGAAUAAUACCCUAUGAAACUAUCACCUCGCAUGAAGCGAUAGUCAAAGUGUUAGCGGUGUAAGAUGGACUUGCGUCUGAUUAGCUAGUUGGUGAGAAAAAAGCCCACCAAGGCAACGAUCAGUAGCCGGCCUGAGAGGGUGAUCGGCCACAUUGGGACUGAGAUACGGCCCAG
rnacentral:rRNA from 1 species